CAAGUCGAGCGCUGAUUGCAGGGUAGCAAUAUUCUGCAGUCGGAGCGGCGCAAGGGUGCGUAAUACGUGGGUAAUCUGCCGUGAAGUUUGGGAUAACUUGCUGAAAGGCGAGCUAAUACCGGAUGUGACAACUGGAAGGCAUCUUCUGGUUGUCAAAGCUGGGGACCGUAAGGCCUGGCGCUUCAUGAUGAGCCCGCGGCCUAUCAGCUAGUUGGUGAGGUAACGGCUCACCAAGGCUAAGACGGGUAGCUGGUCUGAGAGGACGACCAGCCACACUGGAACUGAGACACGGUCCAGACACCUACGGGUGGCAGCAGUCGAGAAUUUUUCACAAUGGGCGCAAGCCUGAUGGAGCGACGCCGCGUGGGGGAUGAAUGGCUUCGGCCCGUAAACCCCUGUCAUUUGCGAACAAUUCGGUUCAACUAACACCUGAACCGUUGAUAGUAGCGAAAGAGGAAGGGACGGCUAACUCUGUGCCAGCAGCCGCGGUAAUACAGAGGUCCCAAGCGUUGUUCGGAUUCACUGGGCGUAAAGGGUGCGUAGGUGGUGAGGUAAGUCGGAUGUGAAAUCUCCGAGCUCAACUCGGAAAUGGCAUUGGAAACUACCUUGCUAGAGGAUCGGAGGGGGGACUGGAAUACUUGGUGUAGCAGUGAAAUGCGUAGAUAUCAAGUGGAACACCAGUGGCGAAGGCGAGUCCCUGGACGAUACCUGACACUGAGGCACGAAAGCUAGGGGAGCAAACAGGAUUAGAUACCCUGGUAGUCCUAGCCGUAAACGGUGCACAUUUGCUGUAAAAAG
rnacentral:rRNA from 1 species